GAUGAACGCUGGCGGCGUGCCUAAUACAUGCAAGUCGAGCGAACAGAUGAGUAGCUUGCUCCUCUGACGUUAGCGGCGGACGGGUGAGUAACACGUGGAUAACCUACCUAUAAGACUGGGAUAACUUCGGGAAACCGGAGCUAAUACCGGAUAAUAUAUUGAACCGCAUGGUUCAAUAGUGAAAGACGGUUUUGCUGUCACUUAUAUAUGUAUCCGCGCCGCAUUAGCUAGUUGGUAAGGUAACGGCUUACCAAGGCGACGAUGCGUAGCCGACCUGAGAGGGUGAUCGGCCACACUGGAACUGAGACACGGUCCAGACUCCUACGGGAGGCAGCAGUAGGGAAUCUUCCGCAAUGGGCGAAAGCCUGACGGAGCAACGCCGCGUGAGUGAUGAAGGUCUUCGGAUCGUAAAACUCUGUUAUUAGGGAAGAACAAAUGUGUAAGUAACUAUGCACGUCUUGACGGUACCUAAUCAGAAAGCCACGGCUAACUACGUG
rnacentral:rRNA from 1 species